CAUGCAGUCGAGCGGAUGAGGGAGCUUGCUCCUGGAUUCAGCGGCGGACGGGUGAGUAAUGCCUAGGAAUCUGCCUGGUAGUGGGGGAUAACGUCCGGAAACGGGCGCUAAUACCGCAUACGUCCUGAGGGAGAAAGUGGGGGAUCUUCGGACCUCACGCUAUCAGAUGAGCCUAGGUCGGAUUAGCUAGUUGGUGGGGUAAAGGCCUACCAAGGCGACGAUCCGUAACUGGUCUGAGAGGAUGAUCAGUCACACUGGAACUGAGACACGGUCCAGACUMCUACGGGAGGCAGCAGUGGGGAAUAUUGGACAAUGGGCGAAAGCCUGAUCCAGCCAUGCCGCGUGUGUGAAGAAGGUCUUCGGAUUGUAAAGCACUUUAAGUUGGGAGGAAGGGCAGUAAGUUAAUACCUUGCUGUUUUGACGUUACCAACAGAAUAAGCACCGGCUAACUUCGUGCCAGCAGCCGCGGUAAUACGAAGGGUGCAAGCGUUAAUCGGAAUUACUGGGCGUAAAGCGCGCGUAGGUGGUUCAGCAAGUUGGAUGUGAAAUCCCCGGGCUCAACCUGGGAACUGCAUCCAAAACUACUGAGCUAGAGUACGGUAGAGGGUGGUGGAAUUUCCUGUGUAGCGGUGAAAUGCGUAGAUAUAGGAAGGAACACCAGUGGCGAAGGCGACCACCUGGACUGAUACUGACACUGAGGUGCGAAAGCGUGGGGAGCAAACAGGAUUAGAUACCCUGGUAGUCCACGCCGUAAACGAUGUCGACUAGCCGUUGGGAUCCUUGAGAUCUUAGUGGCGCAGCUAACGCGAUAAGUCGACCGCCUGGGGAGUACGGCCGCAAGGUUAAAACUCAAAUGAAUUGACGGGGGCCCGCACAAGCGGUGGAGCAUGUGGUUUAAUUCGAAAGCAACGCGAAGAAACCUUUACCUGGCCUUGACAUGCUGAGAACUUUUCCAGAGAUGGGAUUGGUGCCUUCGGGAACUCAGACACAGGUGCUGCAUGGGCUGUCGUCAGCUCGUGGUCGUGARGAUGGUUGGGAUUAAGUCCCUGUACGAGCGCAAUCUUGUCCUAGCUUMUCUCUC
rnacentral:rRNA from 1 species